UACGUAGGGGGCUAGCGUUGUCCGGAAUCAUUGGGCGUAAAGCGCACGUAGGCGGUUCGUUAAGUCGGAUGUGAAAGCCCUAGGCUCAACCUAGGAAGUGCAUUCGAAACUGGCGAGCUUGAAUAUGGAAGAGGGUCGCGGAAUUCCCGGUGUAGAGGUGAAAUUCGUAGAUAUCGGGAGGAACACCAGUGGCGAAGGCGGCGACCUGGGCCAAUAUUGACGCUGAGGUGCGAAAGCGUGGGGAGCAAACAGG
rnacentral:rRNA from 1 species